rnacentral:rRNA from 1 species
AGCCUUAGGAAAUUUCAUCUAAGGUUAAACCUGCCCAAUGUUAAAUUUAUCAAUGGCCGCGGUACUUUGACCGUGCUAAGGUAGCGCAAUCAAUUGGCUUUUAAUUGAAGCCAUGUAUGAAUGGAAUCACGGGGUUAAGCUGUCUCCUAGCCACUUUAUUGAAAUUACUAUUUAGGUGAAAAAGCCUAAAAAAAGAAAAAAGACGAGAAGACCCUUAGAGUUUUUCUAAAAUUAGGAAGCAUUCCUAAAACAGUUUAGUUGGGGCAACAUAGGAACAAAGUUUUAACCUCCUAAAAAAUACUAACCGAUAUUUAUAAACAUGAAUAAACUACCUUAGGGAUAACAGCAUAAUUUUAUAAAUAAGUUUGUGACCUCGAUGUUGGACUAGGAAACUGAAAGGCUAGCCGCCUUUUAGGAAAGUUCUGUUCGAACUAUUAUUCCU